rnacentral:rRNA from 1 species
CGAGCCACACGAACGUUAUUCGGAAUUACUGGGCUUAAAGGGUGCGUAGGCGGUGCGGAAAGUUGGGUGUGAAAUCCCUCGGCUCAACCGAGGAACUGCGCCCAAAACUACCGUACUCGAGGAAGAUAGAGGUGAGCGGAACUUACGGUGGAGCGGUGAAAUGCGUUGAUAUCGUAAGGAACACCCGUGGCGAAAGCGGCUCACUGGGUCUUCUCUGACGCUGAUGCACGAAAGCUAGGGGAGCAAACGGGAUUAGAUACCCCGGUAGUCCUAGCCGUAAACUCUGAGUACUGAAUUGAAGGGCCCUCCAUAGCCCUUCAGUUGUAGCGAAAGUGUUAAGUACUCCGCCUGGGGAGUAUGGUCGCAAGGCUG